ensembl:snoRNA SNORA70 Small nucleolar RNA SNORA70
CUGACCUUCAUACCUGCUGAUUGGGCUCCUCAUGGGGGCCUGAUGUUCAGUGGCUGCAAAAAGCAACCUCUUUGGUGGUACCUACAUCAUAUUGCUUGAACAAAUUUCGCUAAGGAACCUUGGAGACAGCC